AGCUGACCUGCGAUCGACAGAAGGUCGCUAUGUGUCCUCUGAAACGUUGAGUCCGACUGACUCGAAUAUGAUGGUUGUGAGGGAACAAACACCGUCGGAAGCGCUUGCAAUAGUCCCGAUCCAGGUUUUUGUGCCGGCAU